UACAGAGGUCUCAAGCGUUGUUCGGAUUCAUUGGGCGUAAAGGGUGCGUAGGCGGCGCGGUAAGUCGGGUGUGAAAUCUCGGAGCUUAACUCCGAAACUGCAUUCGAUACUGCCGUGCUUGAGGACUGGAGAGGAGACUGGAAUUUACGGUGUAGCGGUGAAAUGCGUAGAUAUCAGGAGGAACACCAAUGGCGAAGGCAGCUCGCUGGGACGGUACUGACGCUGAGACGCGAAAGCGUGGGGAGCAAACAGG
rnacentral:rRNA from 1 species